rnacentral:lncRNA from 1 species
GCAUGUCCUAAUUCACAGGUACCAAAUAUAAGGCAACACAUUGGCCUUUGGCAGCAAAGUAUUAUCAUAUUUCAAUAAUACCCAAAUAGCCCUUUACUGGACCGCCGUCCCGGCCACUUACGCAAACCCCAUCCAUAAAAUGUUUUUCUUAGGGAGUUGAAUCACUCAACUCUCUCGAUCAACAAACUCGCCAUUUCACAUGGUCCGGAGUAAUCUUAGCAAUUGAUGGCAGCAUAACUAGAAUAAUUAGUUAUAUGCUUAUUACGAACUCAAAUUUAUAUUGUAUGGAGUAUAUCUGGAUAGAAUAGCUUCUCACUAUCUAUCUUGAAAGUAAUUCGAGGAUUCUAGUAGAAUGAUUACUAGAAUGUGGUGAAUUCAAUCAUUGGAAUGUAUUGAAUUCAAUCAUUAUUUGAGUAUCUGUAUGGUGUAUGGAAUACCGAACAAUAAUU